rnacentral:rRNA from 1 species
GAUGAACGCUGGCGGCGUGCCUAAUACAUGCAAGUCGAGCGAACAGACGAGGAGCUUGCUCCUCUGACGUUAGCGGCGGACGGGUGAGUAACACGUGGAUAACCUACCUAUAAGACUGGGAUAACUUCGGGAAACCGGAGCUAAUACCGGAUAAUAUAUUGAACCGCAUGGUUCAAUAGUGAAAGACGGUUUUGCUGUCACUUAUAGAUGGAUCCGCGCCGCAUUAGCUAGUUGGUAAGGUAACGGCUUACCAAGGCAACGAUGCGUAGCCGACCUGAGAGGGUGAUCGGACACACUGGAACUGAGAAACGGUCCAGACUCCGACGGGAGGCAGCAGUAGGGAAUCUUCCGCAAGGGGCGAAAGCCUGACGGAGCAACGCCGCGUGAGUGAUGAAGGUCUUCGGAUCGUAAAACUCUGUUAUUAGGGAAGAACAAAUGUGUAAGUAACUAUGCACGUCUUGACGGUACCUAAUCAGAAAGCCACGGCUAACUACGUG